rnacentral:rRNA from 1 species
CCUACGGGUGGCAGCAGUGGGGAAUAUUGCGCAAUGGGCGCAAGCCUGACGCAGCGACGCCGCGUGUGUGAUGAAGGUCUUCGGAUCGUACACCUCUGUCAGCCGGGAGGAACGGUCACUGUGUUAAUCAGCAGUGAAUUGACGGUACCUGCAAAAGAAGCACCGGCUAACUCCGUGCCAGCAGCCGCGGUAAUACGGAGGGUGCGAGCGUUAAUCGGAAUUACUGGGCGUAAAGCGCUCGUAGGCGGUAGAUCGAGUCACAUGUGAAAUCCCCGGGCUUAACGCGGGAACUGCAUUUGAGACGGGCAAACUGGAGUGUGUGAGAGGAGAGUGGAAUUGCAGGUGUAGGGGUGAAAUCCGUAGAGAUGUGGAGGAACACCAGUGGCGAAGGCGACUACCUGGCACAAGACUGACGCUGAGGUGCGAAAGCGUGGGGAGCAAACAGGAUUAGAUACCCGAGUAGUC